rnacentral:rRNA from 1 species
AGUGAACGCUGGCGGUAGGCCUAACACAUGCAAGUCGAACGGCAGCACAGUAAGAGCUUGCUCUUACGGGUGGCGAGUGGCGGACGGGUGAGGAAUACAUCGGAAUCUACUUUUUCGUGGGGGAUAACGUAGGGAAACUUACGCUAAUACCGCAUACGACCUACGGGUGAAAGCAGGGGAUCUUCGGACCUUGCGCGAUUGAAUGAGCCGAUGUCGGAUUAGCUAGUUGGGGGGGUAAAGGCCCACCAAGGCGACGAUCCGUAGCUGGUCUGAGAGGAUGAUCAGCCACACUGGAACUGAGACACGGUCCGGACUCCUACGGGAGGCAGCAGUGGGGAAUAUUGGACAAUGGGCGCAAGCCUGAUCCAGCCAUACCGCGUGGGUGAAGAAGGCCUUCGGGUUGUAAAGCCCUUUUGUUGGGAAAGAAAAGCAGCAGGUUAAUACCCCGCUGUUCUGACGGUACCCAAAGAAUAAGCACCGGCUAACUUCGUG